rnacentral:rRNA from 1 species
AUUGAACGCUGGCGGCAGGCUUAACACAUGCAAGUCGAGCGGGGGAAGGUAGCUUGCUACCGGACCUAGCGGCGGACGGGUGCGUAAUGCUUAGGAAUCUGCCUAUUAGUGGGGGACAACAUCUCGAAAGGGAUGCUAAUACCGCAUACGCCCUACGGGCGAAAGCAGGGGAUCUUCGGACCUUGCGCUAAUAGAUGAGCCUAAGUCGGAUUAGCUAGUUGGUGGGGUAAAGGCCUACCAAGGCGACGAUCUGUAGCGGGUCUGAGAGGAUGAUCCGCCACACUGGGACUGAGACACGGCCCAGACUCCUACGGGAGGCAGCAGUGGGGAAUAUUGGACAAUGGGGGGAACCCUGAUCCAGCCAUGCCGCGUGUGUGAAGAAGGCCUUAUGGUUGUAAAGCACUUUAAGCGAGGAGGAGGCUACUUUAGUUAAUACCUAGAGAUAGUGGACGUUACUCGCAGAAUAAGCACCGGCUAACUCUGUGCCAGCCGCCGCCGUAA